GCAGAAAAUCAAAUCUGUAACUCAUUGUCUUAUGUUCACUUUAGUUGGCUGUUUACUCUUGAGUAAUUAAGGAGCUGCUUUAGCUCUUUGUUCUCUUAUUGCAGUCAAUCCUUUCUGAUGGUCUUCACCCUACUUUUAUUUAAUUUAUUUUGUUUCUAUUCUGGAGUACAAGUACUCUUGCAUUCAUAUAACUUGUCUGAUUAUUGCAGGGUGCAUAAGAGAGACAUUGGGAGUGGAAAGGAGUGUAGGGGCUGACUUGCCAUUUUUGGGGAGGCUCUAGAUUUAUUAUGGGUGGGGAAGAGAAGUGUAGGCUGCGUAGGCUGCUCCAAAUGUGGCUGCCCUCGGCCCAAAGGGCUGACUUAAUGGGCCGCGACGGGGUGUAACGUGGACUUGGUUAGAGAAGGCCCGAAAGAACAUUUCCUUUGUAUUUUAAAAUUCCUUUUUGUGGUUU